rnacentral:rRNA from 1 species
GAUGAACGCUGGCGGCGUGCCUAAUACAUGCAAGUCGAGCGAACAGACGAGGAGCUUGCUCCUCUGACGUUAGCGGCGGACGGGUGAGUAACACGUGGAUAACCUACCUAUAAGACUGGGAUAACUUCGGGAAACCGGAGCUAAUACCGGAUAAUAUAUUGAACCGCAUGGUUCAAUAGUGAAAGACGGUUUUGCUGUCACUUAUAGAUGGAUCCGCGCCGCAUUAGCUAGUUGGUAAGGUAACGGCUUACCAAGGCAACGAUGCGUAGCCGACCUGAGAGGGUGAUCGGCCACACUGGAACUGAGACACGGUCCAGACUCCUACGGGAGGCAGCAGUAGGGAAUCUUCCGCAAUGGGCGAAAGCCUGGCGGAGCAACGCCGCGUGAGUGAUGAAGGUCUUCGGAUCGUAAAGCUCUGUUAUUAGGGAAGAACAAAUGUGUAAGUAACUAUGCACGUCUUGACGGUACCUAAUCAGAAAGCCACGGCUAACUACGUG